rnacentral:lncRNA from 1 species
GCCACCACACCUGGCUAAUUUUUGUAUUUUUUAUUUUGCCAUGUUGCCCAGGGUGGUCUCGAAUGCCUGGAUUCCAGCGAUCUUCCCACCUUGGCCUUCCAAAGUGCUGAGAUUCCAAGUGUGAGCAGCUGAGCCCAGCCUUAUGAUGUAUGUCAUCUAUAUGGUUGAGGAGGCCAAGCCCAGCCAGGCAGGAGAGGUGCUCCAGCCCAGGCAAUCUGUAAGCGGCAGUGCUGAGAUGUGCACCCAGGGCUGUCUGAUCCAAAGUCUGUGCUUUUACAUAAGAUAAUACGCUGGGGAAUCAUUUUUUUUUUUUUUUUUUUUUGAGACAGAGUCUUGCUCUGUUGCCCAGGCUGGAGUGCAGUGGCGUGAUCUCAGCUCACUGCAACCUCCCCGCUAUGCUGGGGAGUCUUAGGGUUAGCUCAGGGCUAUGGCUGAAAUGUUUGCCUUCUGCCCCUGCCAAGUUCAUAUGUUGAAACCUCAACUGGUGUGACGGUAUUUGAAUAUGGGGCCUUGGGGAGGUAAUUAGGUCAAAAGGGUGGAGCCCGUGUAGAUGGAUGAAAGCCCCUAUAAAAAGACAAGAGAGAGCUUGCUUCCGCUCCGCUCUCCACCAGUAAGGAUACAACAAGGAGAGGCCGCCUACAAGCCAGGAAGACAAUCGUUCAGUAGCCUUCAGAUCCGCCAACACCUUGAUCCUGGGCUUGCGGCUGCCAGACCUGUGAGAAAGCGAUGCCCAUUGUUUAAGCCCCUGGUCUUUGAUCUGUUACCGCAGCGCGAGCUGACCACGCACUCAGUGUGAGGCGAUGACCUUUUUCUCAACCAUGCGCAAGUGGUAUUUCUGCGUGCUUCAAAUAUCACAGGCCGGAUUGUCAGGAAACCAAGGAGGGGCCUUUUGGAAGAGAAUGAUGCUGAGCAUCCGGGUCCCUGGACAGCCAGCAGCCCUGAGGCAGACAGAAGUUUGGACAACUCAGGACAGGGAGCUUGGAGGGCAGCCCCUACAUGUCGGAGUGGUCCCUACCUGUGUUGCCUCAACUCUUCCUUCAAGGCAAGAGCCGCUAAGGACAGUCAGGACAUCCUACCGCCCAAGGCUGUUGAGCUCGGCCGGCCAAGGGAGCUUAUAAUUUAGUAGACACAUAAGCCACA